UACAGAGGGUGCGAGCGUUAAUCGGAAUUACUGGGCGUAAAGCGUGCGCAGGCGGUUCGCUAAGACAGAUGUGAAAUCCCCGGGCUUAACCUGGGAACUGCAUUUGUGACUGGCGGGCUAGAGUAUGGCAGAGGGGGGGUAGAAUUCCACGUGUAGCAGUGAAAUGCGUAGAGAUGUGGAGGAAUACCGAUGGCGAAGGCAGCCCCCUGGGCCAAUACUGACGCUCAUGCACGAAAGCGUGGGGAGCAAACAGG
rnacentral:rRNA from 1 species